ensembl:lncRNA
CAUUAGAAGGUGGCAUUCCUUUAUUCCACAUGAUACAUACCAGACGACUUGACAAAACAAACAUGCUCUCUCAGAGUUCAGAUUCUACGUUUCAGUUAAAACAUACAUAUGUUUUAUGCAGUAUAUUAACAUACAUAUUCUCUUUUUUUUUUCCCUCUCCGAAUUCAUUAAUAUCUGUUAAUGUCCCUCUGGUAGCGGCCUCUAGUGGUCUUCAACCACUUACUUUCUCCUUAGGUUUCCAUCAGCAGCUUCAUCACAGAGACUUCUGGCUGACCUUUUUGUUUUUCCCCAGUUUGAAAAACUUCCAUUGCUUAUUAGGCCAUAAUGAGAAAUUUCUGAAACAACAUAUGUGAACAUCUGAGAAAAAAACCUACUUGCUCCUGCUGGUUGCAAAAGAUUAAAGUAGCCUCUUAUGAAUCCAGUGCUUCUUCUGAGGCAGAACUGUUGAGGGAAACAAGGCUGUUCACACUCCAAGCGAAGCUGAAAUGGAAAGUUUUAGAACUAACACUCAUUGAUGCCUUUUGCUAAACUAAUAUAUUGAUCCUUAAACGAAUGUACUGAUGGCUACUGCUAAACAAACCAGCCUAUAUCACCCCAACUAUCUGAUUCUUCCUUUUUUUUUUUUUUUUUUUUUUUCCAGGUAUUGGUGCCAUCUCUGAAGAACAUCUCAUUAAAUUUUGGUCUUGUCUGUCCAGCACCAGAAAUUAAUAGUCUUCCAACAUAACAAGCCUAUUGGGUUCUUCCAGAUACUGAUGCCUGCAAUAUUCAAACUCCUCACUCUGUCAAAAACUGUGAAGUUUAUUUGCAUACUUCCUUCUAAUGAAAUCAAGAGCUCAGUGCACCAUAAAGGGGUCAGACCGAGGAAGACGUCGAGCCUUCGCGAGGAAGACUUCUGACUUCAUCCCCACAACCACCAGAGGGAGACCCCUAUUAUGGACAGCGCAUGCACUGGGGGAGGGGUAGUAUGUAAAUGAGUUUCUGGAAGAAUACUG